AGCGAUCCUCCUGCCUCAGCCUCCUAAGUAGCUGGGACCACAGAUCCACAGCCAACGACCCAACCUGCCCAUCCUCUGGUUUCUGCUCCUACGCCCACACUGAUCAGCACAGCUGGAAAAAUGAUUCAGCAGGGUGUCCUAGUAUCACGUCAUGCUCCUCACCUAUGAAGUAAAGAAAACGACAGUAUUCACAUGACUACUAGAAGGAUUAAAUGAGAUAAUGCCACAAAACGCUUAAUGUAAUAUUUGGCGAAUAGUAGCAGCUCAAUAAAUUUAGCUAUUUUUAUUAUUAUUUUUAUUUCCAACCUCAGCUGGACUCUUGCGCUAUUUAAUCUUUCACUUGUUUGUGGUGAGCUCGUUCCCAUUUCCUCCAGCGAUCCUUCCGCUUCUUCAACAGGUUCUUGCGUCUCCUGUCCCUCUCUGCUAUGAUUUGAAUAUCAUUGUCCCCAAAUUCAUAUGUGCUGUACCUGUGAAAGUGACUGUUUUGGAGAGAACGUUUUUGAAUUAAGUUAGAAUAAGGUCAGUAGGGUGACUGGUGUCCUUAUAAAAUGGAAAAAUUUAGAAAUAGACACAAAUAUAAGGAAGUUUAGAGACCCAGGGAGAAGACGCCAUCUACAAGCCUUGCAGCAAGCCUAGAACCGACCCUUCCCUCACAGCCCCGAGAAGAAACCAACUCUGCCAAGAGCUCGACUUUGGACUUCUAGCUUCUGGAACUGGAACACAGCAGGCCGUCCAACCCUGCUUCUCUCCUUCGACUUCUAAGCCCCGCAUGCCGUGGUUAUACAGCUGAAGGAGCUUAUUUUGCAGAAGAUUUAUGGAUCCUCUGGGAGUCAUCUGCUUUGACAGAACCCUUUGUGGAAUGAGGCAGGGAGCUUGGUUAAGCAGUUGAGGAAGAAGGACUGUGUUUUAUCAAACCCUGUUUGUUGAAAGCAGAAAACAGCUCAACGCCCAACAGUAGCAACGAGAUUUGGCUUCUGACCCGCCAAUUACUAGCCCAGUGAACUUGAGCAAGAAACCUGAUUCUUUGGGGCUCAGCUUUUCUCUCAAGGGUACGUGAGGAUCAGAUUAAAGUGCAUGAGAAAGGACUUCAUAGCUAUUAAACGGAUAUAUGCGUGUAACUUGUCAUCUUCUAUAUUUACCAUUCUUCAUGCUUAAAAAUGCCAAUGUUCAAAAUAAUUUCCAAUAGGCCAUUUGAACCCCGAUGACAUAUUCAUCCCUUCUCAUCCUGGUUCCAUUCUUUAAACAGAGGUUCAUUGAGACCCAGGCACUGAGCUAGGCACUGGGGUUGUAGAGGUGUGGAAACAGAGUUGGCCUCUGCCAGUAGGGAGCUCACAGCCCCAGGAAUUGUUGCAAGUCACAGCUCAAAGAGAAAGGGAGGCAACGUUGGGGCCCACCACUGGUUUUUGAUGCCAUGCUUUGGUUUAGGGAUUUUGAAUCUUCUGCAUUUAAGUGAGGUCAAACUCAUCAACUAGGAAUUGGAUACCUAGU